GUAACCUCUUGUCUCAUUCUCUUCUUACGAUUAUCAAAUGGACAAUAUCGAGAUUGUCACUGCCAUCCAAUCACGUCCGCAUUUCUCGAUAAAGCCUCAGCCUGUGUAAGAAAAGAUAAACACCGGCAUCAUAUGAUCCCAACCCAAAUUUGUAAAGGUAAACUCUCUAUCGCCACAAAGCAAACUCUUCGCAUAAAAACAGCGUUCAACGCACCAAGAGUGCGAUUUACACGAAUAUUCUAUCCUCGUAAUUUUCUCCAGAAGUUUUCUACUAUGAAAGAUGAGCUAAAGACAAAUUAAAUUUGCUAUUUGAUCUAAAACUUGAUGAUCAAGAAAGCUCUCAAGGGAUUGUAACAGAAUAUGAAGAACAAAUAAGCCUUUGAAAGGGUCAAAUGUGUAAUCUGACAAUCGGGUUAUUAUCUAAGCGUGCGAUGGCAAAAAUAUAAUUAUUUUCUUACGUUGUAGACUGGGUAUUCCGAAACAAAUGAGACUAGGAAAUGUAAUUGGGAUUUUAGAGCGUCACUUGAGACAAUAAUCAGGCACAUGAUGAGGCACGAGAGUACGUGGUAGAAUGUGCUGUGCCGUACUCUUUAAUCUUACACGUCACGGAGGCUUGUUAUUUGUCCUUUCAAAAUACCUUUCAUUUGCUAAUCAAGCUUUUGUGUUUAUGCUCCCAUGGGACAGGGUGUGUCGCUUUAACAAUUUACCGCCAAAUUACUCUCAAUGAAUGAAAUCUAUUGCGCUUGGCUGAUUUCGUGAUUAAUGCCGCCGCGAAAUUUAUGAUUCGAUUUUUUGGCGCGCAACCUAACUAAACAUGCUCACCUCAAGCUACGGAGUUAGAUAAUUCUACUUGAUAAGUGAGUGACAUGUAAGUCUUUCUUACACACAUUUCUUAUCCGCUCUUUAUUCACACACCUCUUUUUAAAUUUGAGCAAUAGUGUACGUGUUAUGAUGAAUUUUUUUUUUUUUUACUUUCUGGGUUUAUGUUGAAAAACCUCUUGCGACCAAAACGGAAAGGCAAUUUAUUUUGAGAACAUGGAACCCAAAUACUAAUCUGCUGGAAGAAUCAAACACAAAGAGAGGUCGUGUUAUUUUGAAAGAAAAAAAUAACCAAAUUAAAGAUUGUGUUGUUUUGCCAAGAAUGCAAACGACGUUAUUGAUAAUGUUAACUCGUCUGUGACAUGUCCACUGACCGUGAUUCCGGGCACACAGUCUAUAUGAAUUUCAAAGUUGUUAUUGGAAGGGUUUCGAGGAAAUGGUAAAUAGUACUCUUCUUGGGUCUUUUAAAUUAAUUUCCCGUUUCGGUUUGUUUAUCCUAAAGCUCAGAAAUAGGACAUUACGAGCAGAAAGCUACGGAUAAAACGCCCUCUUGAGUUGUAACAGUAUUGCCGAACGUGCAGUUGCGCAGCCACGAAUAUUCGCGAAAGAGUUUUCGAAUAUCACGAACGAUCCUAUCAGUUGAGGGAAAUAAAUUAAAACAUUCGAACAAGCGGUAA